rnacentral:misc_RNA from 1 species
AAGUCAUAACAAGGUUUCCGUAGGUGAACCUGCGGAAGGAUCAUUAACACGUAUCCACGUAUCAACCAAUGAGAACUCGUUUUCCCGUCUCCCUGUGCAAAGAAUGAAUUGGAACCAGUUUGAGGGAGUGAUGGGACCGUAUCGGUCGGCCUUCCUGGUAUACUUAUGUGCAUAGAAAUAUGUGCAUAGACAAUUGGAUUUUUGCAGAGGCUAUUUCUUAUCGCUUUGAUCUCCAUCAUGAUCGUGGCGGUAGGGAAACUUUCACUACAUUUACCUUUUUUGCUAGUUGACUUUUUAUAUGUGUUGUCUUGCGAAAGCAUGGUGGCACACGUUUAUUAAUUGAACGUUAAAAAAUACAACUCUUAGCAAUGGAUAUCUUGGUUCUC